CAACUCGCCUACACGAAGUCGGAAUCGCUAGUAAUCGCGGAUCAGCAUGCCGCGGUGAAUACGUUCCCGGGCCUUGUACACACCGCCCGUCACACCAUGGGAGUUUGUAAUGCCCAAAGUCGGUGGCCUAACCUUUAUGGAGGGAGCCGCCUAAGGCGGGACAGAUGACUGGGGUGAAGUCGUAACAAGGUACC
rnacentral:rRNA from 1 species